rnacentral:rRNA from 1 species
AUUGAACGCUGGCGGCAUGCUUUACACAUGCAAGUCGAGCGGCAGCGCGGGGGCAACCCUGGCGGCGAGCGGCGAACGGGUGAGUAAUGCAUCGGAACGUACCCUGGAGUGGGGGAUAACGCCACGAAAGCGGCGCUAAUACCGCAUAUGCUCUGAGGAGGAAAGUGGGGGACCGCAAGGCCUCACGCUCUGGGAGCGGCCGAUGUCCGAUUAGCUAGUUGGUGGGGUAAAGGCUUACCAAGGCGACGAUCGGUAGCUGGUCUGAGAGGAUGAUCAGCCACACUGGGACUGAGACACGGCCCAGACUCCUACGGGAGGCAGCAGUGGGGAAUUUUGGACAAUGGGGGCAACCCUGAUCCAGCCAUGCCGCGUGAGUGAAGAAGGCCUUCGGGUUGUAAAGC